rnacentral:lncRNA from 1 species
CCCUAAGCCACCGUUUGGUUCAGGGUUAAGAAAAAAUAGCUAUUCCAGGAAUAACGUUAAGUUCAGGAUUAAAAAAGUGUUAAAAUUUUUUUAUGUUUGGUUGGAGGUUGGAGUUAGUCUAGGAUAGUGAAAAAAAGUAUUUGGUUGAAGUAGGUGGGAUAAGAAGAUAAUGAUUGAUAAAGAAGAAAAAGGUGAGGGCUCGGGAUGCGUGCGGGGUUAAAGUUGGGAGGGGGAGUGGGAUUAAUGAUUGAUAAAGAAGAAAAAGGUGAGGACUCGGGAUGCGUGCGGAGUUAAAGUUGGGAGGGGGAGUGGGGUUAGUAAACCCCACCCCAAACCGGGUUAGUGGGGUUUACUAACCCCAUCCCUUAAAAGUGGUGUUUGGGUAUAAAUUGGGGGUUAAGGGGUUAUUCCACCCCUUAACCCCCAACCAAACGGUGG